AAACUAACAAGGAUUCCCCUAGUAACGGCGAGUGAAGCGGGAAGAGCUCAAAUUUGAAAUCUGGCAGUCUUCGAUUGUCCGAGUUGUAAUCUAUAGAGGCGUUUUCCGUGCCGGACCGUGUCCAAGUCUCCUGGAAAGGAGUAUCAAAGAGGGUGAUAAUCCCGUACUUAACACGACCACCGGUGCUCUGUGAUACGUCUUCUACGAGUCGAGUUGUUUGGGAAUGCAGCUCAAAAUGGGUGGUGAAUUCCAUCUAAAGCUAAAUAUUGGCGAGAGACCGAUAGCGAACAAGUACCGUGAGGGAAAGAUGAAAAGCACUUUGGAAAGAGAGUUAAACAGUACGUGAAAUUGUUGAAAGGGAAACGAUUGAAGUCAGUCGUGUUCUUUGGAUUCAGCCAGUUCUGCUGGUCUACUUCCUUGGAACGGGUCAACAUCAGUUUUGUCCGGUGGAUAAAGGUAGUAGGAAUGUGACUUCUCCGGAAGUGUUAUAGCCUAUUAUCACAUACACUGGGUGAGACUGAGGACUGCAGCUCGCCUUUAUGGCCGGCCUUCGGGCACGUUCGAGCUUAGGAUGUUGACAUAAUGGCUUUAAACGAC
rnacentral:rRNA from 1 species